AUUCAGCUGACGAGUCCCAGUUGGGAUGAAACGCGCUUUCUGAGU
rnacentral:hammerhead_ribozyme from 1 species